rnacentral:rRNA from 1 species
UACGAAGGGGGCUAGCGUUGCUCGGAAUCACUGGGCGUAAAGCGCACGCAGGCGGACUCUUAAGUCGGUGGUGAAAUCCUGGAGCUCAACUCCAGAACUGCCUUCGAUACUGAGAGUCUCGAGUCCGAGAGAGGUGAGUGGAACUGCGAGUGUAGAGGUGAAAUUCGUAGAUAUUCGCAAGAACACCAGUGGCGAAGGCGGCUCACUGGCUCGGUACUGACGCUGAGGUGCGAAAGCGUGGGGAGCAAACAGG